UCUAACAACGGUAUCGGCAGUCUCGUUCGAGUGGUUCAACCGUGAACACGUAGGAGACAGUCAGCUUCAGUGCCUCCGAUUCGCUAAACGUGGAGUAACGAACCGUUUCAAUCUCUCAGUGCUCUUCAAGCGCUCCUGCAGGCUCAAUCUUACCAUCAGGCGUAACGAUCAGUGGACAGUCCUCUGCGAAGUCUUCAGUUUUGAACGAUAUCUCCCAGCAUACGUGAAGGUAGCUCGAUGAUGGCCCAGCAAUCACCACCAGGCUCGCCUGUGCAAACCCAUCACUACCCCGC
rnacentral:misc_RNA from 1 species